CCCGAGCUGCGGGCCAGGAGAGGCCCCCGGCGGCCCGGGACGUGGGGGACGAUUGGCCCACGCGCAGUGCGAGUCCGGGCGCUCGUGGGCGCCCCGGCUCCACAGAGCGUGACUUCCCUCGUCACCCCCGGAGUCCUAUUUCCACCUCCCCUUUGCACUAACCGUCCCUGACCUUGAGGGGACUGUUUUCCCGUCAGUCCCUGGAGGGGUCAAGGGGCAGGAGCUCUGACCCCUAAGGGCCCCGACUGCGUGUGCCAGGCCGGGGUCCGGGCGUCGGGAGCCCCUGCUCUAGGCUGACGCUCCCAGGGGACGGACGAAUGGACGCAGGCAGCUGUUAAUGAGCGCGGACUCUGCCAAUCUCCGUGCUAAACAGACUUGAUUUCACUUCAUUUUCACAACCGGCGGCGGUGCAAAUUACGACCCCCAAUUCACAGGCCAGGAAAUUGAGGCUGGCAGGGAGGUGGCCUCCCACGUGACGAGCAGCCAGAAGGAAAACCAGGGCUGGAGUUGAGACCUCAUGCCAUCUCUGUGACUACGAGGGGAAUGAGGUUGUACGGGCAUGGCCGCGGGUGCCAGCUGGCCUCAGGGCAGGUCUGUCUCCACCUCUCGAUGCCCUCCGUGCCUCUCCCUUCAAUGUAUCUUCCUCACUGAGGUUCCUAAAGGGCUCUUUCUAAAAGUCACGUCUGAUCCCAUAUCUCCACCACUUAGAAGCUUCCUGUGCAAAUGGAUUCGCCAGAAAGACCAGAAUUAAAUAUUUGAAGAGAAUACAGGUGACUACCAAGUAUCAAGGAGGUCCUGGUUUCGAAGGUUAAUCACGCGGCGGCCAUAUGACUAAUGCACAUGGCAGUAGCAUGCAGCCACAGGCGAGAGCAGAAAGGCUGAGCUCCUCAUUCGUCAAGUGGCGAGACUCUGCCCCAGAGGCCAUCCUGAGGGGAAUGGAGCUCUCAAAGGACACCGCUCUGCCUGGCACAGAGCUAGCCUCCAAAAACGGGCUGUUAGGAUUCCUUUGUAAAUAGUUCAACACAAAAAUGUUAAAAGAAAAAGCAUACAUUUUGUUUGGGAAAUGCUAGAAGCCACACAUUGAUUUAUUGCCAGCAGUGCCUCUUGGGGAGAGAAUCAGCAAGGAGAAAGGGACCCUUUCAGUUCUUAUUCUCUGUACCUUCUUUGUGGUUUGAGUGUUUCACAAGGGGCUCAUAUUCAGAUAUCAUCUGUGUC